rnacentral:misc_RNA from 1 species
GUCAUUUUCAAGCUCACCAUUUAACUCUGUCAAACAUGCAAGCGUAAACAUCAAGACCUUGCGGCCUUGAGCCAAUGUGUCAGUCCCACCAGCCCAGCCUAGACUAGGCCAGCGGACCAACGCGAGAUUUGUAAUGAUCCUUCCGCAGGUUCACCUACGGAAA